rnacentral:sRNA from 1 species
AGAAGGCUUUUGAAGUCAAGGGUGAUGGCUGUGUCUUUUGAAUUCCUCCCAUAGUUAUUCUUGUUGAAACACUCUGGGGAAUAGACAUAAUUCUCAGACAGCAGAGUGUUGAUGUCUAGGGAAAAUGUUUACAAUCUGAAAAAUUACCUUGGCAGGCUGAGGACAAAGCCACAAAAUUGUAACUUGUUUUUCGGCUUUCUUCAGCCUCACCUCUACCAGAGAAUUUCACUUUGGAGUUUUCUUAUCUGUAAAAGGGGAAGGGUUGAAGUACAUUGUCUGUCAGCUCCCACCCAACCCUGAAAGGCUAAUUUUCUUUAAUUCUUUCCCUUAAUCUUUCCAUUGAAAUUAAAACUGAUGAGCUGUUUCUGGAUCUUGAAUUAGGAAUUUUUCAUUUCUUUGUAAUUCUUUCCCUGACGCAUUUUGCAGUUGUCCCCGGACACGAUGAGGCGAGUGGUACGACAGAGCAAGUUUCGGCAUGUAUUUGGGCAAGCGGUGAAAAAUGACCAGUGCUAUGAUGACAUCCGGGUUUCUCGUGUGACCUGGGAUAGUUCCUUUUGUGCUGUCAAUCCCAGAUUUGUUGCCAUAAUCAUAGAGGCAAGUGGGGGAGGAGCGUUCCUUGUCCUCCCUCUGCACAAGACUGGUCGAAUUGACAAAUCCUACCCUACAGUAUGUGGCCACACAGGACCAGUGCUGGACAUAGACUGGUGCCCACAUAACGAUCAGGUGAUUGCCAGCGGUUCAGAGGACUGCACGGUCAUGGUAUGGCAGAUCCCAGAAAAUGGACUCACCCUUUCCCUGACUGAA